rnacentral:rRNA from 1 species
UACGAAGGGGGCUAGCGUUGUUCGGAAUUACUGGGCGUAAAGCGCACGUAGGCGGGUUUGUAAGUAGAGGGUGAAAUCCCAGGGCUCAACCCUGGAACUGCCUUCUAGACUGCAAGCCUGGAGGUCAGGAGAGGCGAGUGGAAUACCGAGUGUAGAGGUGAAAUUCGUAGAUAUUCGGUGGAACACCAGUGGCGAAGGCGACUCGCUGGACUGAUACUGACGCUGAGGUGCGAAAGCGUGGGGAGCAAACAGG